UAGGGAAUCUUCCGCAAUGGACGAAAGUCUGACGGAGCAACGCCGCGUGAGCGAUGAAGGCCUUCGGGUCGUAAAGCUCUGUUGUCAGGGAAGAACAAGUACCGGAGUAACUGCCGGUACCUUGACGGUACCUGACCAGAAAGCCACGGCUAACUACGUGCCAGCAGCCGCGGUAAUACGUAGGUGGCAAGCGUUGUCCGGAAUUAUUGGGCGUAAAGCGCGCGCAGGCGGUCCUUUAAGUCUGAUGUGAAAGCCCACGGCUCAA
rnacentral:rRNA from 1 species